GGAAAGAGAGGGAUUCGAAC
rnacentral:tRNA from 5 species